rnacentral:rRNA from 1 species
CCUACGGGAGGCAGCAGUGGGGAAUAUUGGACAAUGGGCGCAAGCCUGAUCCAGCAAUGCCGCGUGUGUGAAGAAGGUCUUCGGAUUGUAAAGCACUUUGCGGGACGAUGCGGUACCGCAGAAUAAGCCCCGGCUAACUUCGUGCCAGCAGCCGCGGUAAUACGAAGGGGGCUAGCGUUGCUCGGAAUGACUGGGCGUAAAGGGCGCGUAGGCGGCUGUCACAGUCAGAAGUGAAAUUCCUGGGCUCAACCUGGGGACUGCUUUUGAUACGUGGCGGCUUGAGUGGGGAAGAGGGUUGUGGAAUUUCCAGUGUAGAGGUGAAAUUCGUAGAUAUUGGAAAGAACACCGGUGGCGAAGGCGACAACCUGGUCUUACUGACGCUGAGGCGCGAAAGCGUGGGGAGCAAACAGGAUUAGAUACCCUUGUAGUC